CCUACGGGAGGCAGCAGUGGGGAAUUUUGGACAAUGGGGGCAACCCUGAUCCAGCAAUGCCGCGUGAGUGAAGAAGGCCUUCGGGUUGUAAAGCUCUUUUGUCAGGGAAGAAACAGCAGCUCUAACACAGUCUGCGAAUGACGGUACCUGAAGAAUAAGCACCGGCUAACUACGUGCCAGCAGCCGCGGUAAUACGUAGGGUGCAAGCGUUAAUCGGAAUUACUGGGCGUAAAGCGUGCGCAGGCGGUCUUGUAAGACAGAGGUGAAAUCCCCGGGCUCAACCUGGGAACUGCCUUUGUGACUGCAAGGCUGGAGUACGGCAGAGGGGGAUGGAAUUCCGCGUGUAGCAGUGAAAUGCGUAGAUAUGCGGAGGAACACCGAUGGCGAAGGCAAUCCCCUGGGCCUGUACUGACGCUCAUGCACGAAAGCGUGGGGAGCAAACAGGAUUAGAUACCCUGGUAGUCCACGCCCUAAACGAUGUCAACUGGUUGUUGGGUCUUCACUGACUCAGUAACGAAGCUAACGCGUGAAGUUGACCGCCUGGGGAGUACGGCCGCAAGGUUGAAACUCAAAGG
rnacentral:rRNA from 1 species